GUGGGGAAUAUUGCACAAUGGGGGAAACCCUGAUGCAGCCAUGCCGCGUGUGUGAAGAAGGCCUUCGGGUUGUAAAGCACUUUCAGCGAGGAGGAAAGGUCAGUAGCUAAUAUCUGCUGGCUGUGACGUUACUCGCAGAAGAAGCACCGGCUAACUCCGUGCCAGCAGCCGCGGUAAUACGGAGGGUGCAAGCGUUAAUCGGAAUUACUGGGCGUAAAGCGCACGCAGGCGGUUGGAUAAGUUAGAUGUGAAAGCCCCGGGCUCAACCUGGGAAUUGCAUUUAAAACUGUCCAGCUAGAGUCUUGUAGAGGGGGGUAGAAUUCCAGGUGUAGCGGUGAAAUGCGUAGAGAUCUGGAGGAAUACCGGUGGCGAAGGCGGCCCCCUGGACAAAGACUGACGCUCAGGUGCGAAAGCGUGGGGAGCAAACAGGAUUAGAUACCCGGGUAGUCC
rnacentral:rRNA from 1 species